rnacentral:lncRNA from 1 species
AUGUGUGUGUGUGUGUGUGUGUGUGUGAGCAGGUGUGGUGGAAGCGUGUGUUCUUCAUGGGCUGAAGCGACGGGCCGCUGGAUUCCUGCGCAGCAACAAGCUGGCGGCUCUCUUCAUGAAGAUGGGGAAGAUGUUUCCACCGGCCGAGGAACUCUGCAGGAAAGUUCAGGAACUGGAGCAAAUCAUCGAGAACAAACAGAACCAGGGUCAGACGAGUCAAGAGAGCGUCCGGAAACCUUCCCGCUCUCUAAACCUGUCUCCGCUGGCCAUCAAACACCUGUGGAUCCGCACGGCCCUCACAGAGAAGCUCCUGGACAAAAUCCUCCUGUAUCUGGUGGAGAACAGCAGGUGAGGAAUUCACAAAUCAUCUCUCCAUUGAUGCACGGUUUGUUAGGAGGACAAUAUUUGAAAAUCUGGAAUCUGAGGGAGCAAAAAAAUCUAAAUAUUGAGAAAAUCAUCUUUAAAGUUUUUCAAUGAAUUCUUAGCAAUGCAUAUUACUAAUCAAAAAUGAAUAAGGGAGGUGUUUAUAAUCGUUACACUGGAAAUGGAAAACGUGAACUAGGCACUAGGCAGCAAUAUGUUACAAUGAACAUAGAUUCAUUUGAAUGAAUGAAAUAAAACUGAGCUGUUUCUAUUCAUAUUUUCAGCAAGUUUUAUGAAAGAGAAGCUCUGCUGAGAGAUCCAGUCGACGGCCCAAUCCUCGCAUCUUUGCUUGGUAUCAGUUUUCAAGCAUUUGUGUCUUGUAAUUUUUGAAGAAAAAUAAGCAAAAUCAACUGAACAUUAUAUAUACACUAAUAUUGAAAAGUUUGGGAUUAUUAAGGCUGCAUUAUUUUAUAAAAAUAUGGUAUAAAAUUGUGAAAUAUUAUUGGCAGUUUAAAAUAUCUGUUUUCUAUGUGAAUAUGUAUUAAACUGUAAUUUAUUUCUGUGAUGCUCCGCUGUAUUUUCAGCAUCAUUCCUCCAGUCUUCAGUGUCACAUGAUCUUCAGAAAUCAUGAUAAUAUGCUGAAAAAACAUUUCUGCUUAUUAUCAAUGUUGAAAACAGUUGUGCUGCACAAUAUUUUAGAGGAAAAUGUGAUGCUUUUUAAUUUUCACAAUUUACAAAUGAAUAAAAAGUUCAAAAGAACAGCAUUUAUUUGCAAUAAUUGUCACUUUUGAUCAAUUUAAUGCAUCCUUGCUGAAUGCAAAUAUUAAUUUCUUUCAUUAAAAAACAAAACAAGUACUGACCCCAAACAUAUCCAUUUUAAAAAGUAAAUUAAUGAUCAUUUUAAUUGCACUGUAUAUUAUUGUAUUGUGAUAUGAUGAUGCAUUGAGGGCUAGAUUAAUUUGAGGAUGUUUUUACGUAUGCUGUGUGUCUUUCAGUCGGCCCCUGUGCUCUGGAGUACACAAAAGCCAAGACGGCCAAUCAUUUCUGGACAGACCCCUCGGCUGAUGAACUGGUGCAGAGACACCGCAUCCACAGCGGACACUGCCGGCAGGAUUCCCCCACCAAACGCCCGGCGCUCGUGAGAUAACCUGUUCAACUGCUUGCACACUUUGCUUAACCCUUAGGUCCAUAGUGGACACAAAUGUCAAUGUCAAAAAAAAAAUACAACUGUCACUGAGCACAGAGUUAGGUUGGGUCUCAUUUUAAAGAAAACCCAUGGUGGAUUGGUGAAAAAAAAAAAAAAAUUUAUGAAACAUGUUGGACACUAUACCUGCUAGAAAAUCAAAGCCAUAAAUCCAAACAACUUGUGUUUCAAAUUUGAAGUUGAUAUCUCGAAAAAACGUUUUUGUUUUGGGGCGCAGUACUAAGUUUUCCCCAGUAGAUGCCAGCAAAACUCAAAUAUUACAAGCACACACACAAACCACAAACUCUGACAUCCAUACCAACACACCCACACAAUUUUAGUUGCAUUGUUUAUUCAGUUGGCUCUACAAAAUAGAAUAAAGCGAGUAUUUGUUUUAUAGGCCAAAAAAAUUCACCAUUUGGUAAAAAUGUAAAAAUAAAUAACAGCAGAAUGAAAGUCUGUUAACAAAAUGCCAUCCUUUUACAGUUAAAUGGCACUGCGAUUAA